UGUCAACUCUCCCGAAUUUUUCGGAAGUCUACCGAUUUUUAACCAUCCCUACCGAUUGUCUACCGAAUUUUUUUUAGACUGACGUUUCUACCGAUUUUGAAAAAAAUCCGGAUUUUUUACCUACUUGGGUUCGUAAAAUACCGACAUGUCAACACAAAAAUGGAGGUCAUGCACUGUUUAUCGGUAGCUAAUCUGUUUAUUGCCACUGAUAACAGGUAAUCAACAAGGUGUCAACUGUGCUACCAGAUGUAAUUGCAGUUGUAAUUGCUCCUUAUUCUCAUUAAAAGUGUAUAUUAUCAAAGACAGAUAUGCCAGAUGUAAAAAUUUUGCAAAAAAAUGACGGUAAAUAACGAUAUGGAUACAUGUACUUGAUACUUUGCUGCAAAUAAGUUUACAAGUACCCAAGACAUUACAAUUCCUCCAUAAACAAUACAGUGAUCAGGAAAGAUAUAACUACAGUACUCUAUUAUUAAUUUAACGAGGAGAGGGGAAAAAUUUCAUGGAAGCUAAUAAUGAAGAGUCUGAAGAGUUCCCCACAGAUUUGAGAUUCAAUGUCUUAGUAAAUCCUGCAUCAACAUCAGCAUAUAAAAGCCCCUGAAACUACAGAGCAGCAUGACAGUGCCUUUAGAAAACUUCUUUGAAUUUACAUAGCUAAACAAGAUCCUUAAAUCCAGGACACAACUCUUGCUUCUUAGACUUAGUGAGAAAAAUCCAUUCAUCCAUCUAUUAAAAGCUGGAAACUCAGACUGUUUGCAGAACCUUAUUAAUUUUUCUAAUUGCCAAGUUAAACUUUGACAUUUGCCAUGAAUAUUAUUCAAAUGACACUCUUAUGGACAGGCAGAAUAUACAUUGAAGAACAUGUAUUUUUAUAAUUUCAAAAAUCACAUUGUACAAGUUUCUAAACAAUGUAUGAAUAAAAAGUAAAUUUUAUGAAUAAAUGAUAAUAAUAAUAUUAAUAAAAAAGUUUUAUCUU